AACUUUUAACAAUGGAUCUCUAGGCUCUCAUAUCGAUGAAGAACACAGUGAAAUGUGAUAAGUAAUGUGAAUUGCAGAAUUCAGUGAAUCAUUGAAUCUUUGAACGCACCUUGCACCUUUUGGUAUUCCAAAAGGUAUGCCUGUUUGAGUGUCAUGAAAAUCUCUCAUCAAAUUAAUUUUUGGUGGAUGUUGA
rnacentral:rRNA from 3 species